GGCGGUUUCCCACCCACCCUUUUUUUCCGAACAAAAAUAAGGGAGUUUGCAGCAUAUUAGGAGGUCAGGGUACUUGAUUCCAUGCAAAAAAAUCUGAGUUUUUAUUUUUUUUCUUAGUGAAAAUCAUGCAGGUGAAAGAAUCAAAUAAUACC